AAAGUACUCCCUCCGUCCCAAAAUUCUUGUCUUAGAUUUGUCUAGAUACGGAUGUAUCAAGUCACAUUUUAGUAUUAGAUACAUCCGUAUCUUGACAAAUC
rnacentral:pre_miRNA from 1 species